rnacentral:rRNA from 1 species
GAUGAACGCUGGCGGCGUGCCUAAUACAUGCAAGUCGAGCGAACGGACGAGAAGCUUGCUUCUCUGAUGUUAGCGGCGGACGGGUGAUUAACACGUGGAUAACCUACCUAUAAGACUGGGAUAACUUCGGGAAACCGUAGCUAAUACCGGAUAAUAUUUUGAACCGCAUGGUUCAAAAGUGAAAGACGGUCUUUCUUUCACUUAUAGAUUGAUCCGCGCUGCAUUAGCUAGUUGGUAAGGUAACGGCUUACCAAGGCAACGAUGCAUAGCCGACCUGAGAGGGUGAACGGCCAGACGGGAAGUGAGAAACGGCACAGACAUCGAGGGGAGGCAGCAGUAGGGAAUCUUACGCAAGGGGCGAAAGCCUGACGGAGCAAAGCCGCGGGAGGGAUGAAGGUCUUAGGAUCGUAAAACGCUGUUAUUAGGGAAGAACAAAUGUGUAAGUAACUGUGAACAUCUUGACGGUACCUAAUCAGAAAGCCACGGCUAACUACGUG